AAGCAGCAGGCAAGCUGCAAAGAGCUCCUUUUCUCCCGCCUCUCAGCUGAUCGGCGGGUGGGCGGGGCUUCCACGGAGGCCUCCGUGUAGGCCGCAGUGAAGCCUGAACUCGAGUAGGGCCCAAGCAAGCCAGGAAGGAGGAGGCAGCCAGAGUGUUCUCUGCAGCAGAAGACCCCUUGCUGCCCUGCUUAACCCAGACCAGCAUUUGCCAGCUAACAAGCUAACAGUCAUUUCUGUAAGAGGGGAGAGCAAAAUCAACAGAACUGAUAAAACAACCAAUCAGCAGAACUGAAGACUAACUCCACCCCAAGGACCCAACACAGACACAUACAUACAGAGAUGCUUUGUGAACAUCCUGCUUGGUAUUUGUGCACAUUUGUGGCAGCCUUUUCUGGACCAUUUAAGAGGCACACUUUACCGGCUUUGGCACAUAAUUGGGUGGUGGUGCCUCCUGUGUGGAACAACUAUUCCAGAUCCCUUUCAUUCCCUCAUGUGUGUGGUUGUGCACUAUGGUGGCAACCAUUUGGGCCUGAUGAAAAGCCAGGCAUUGCUCUUGCAGCCAGCCAUUUCUGAGUUUCAUGUUUUGCUGACCCAUGGGGCUAGAUUUUAUGUUAUUGUCUAACCUGAUGAGCGGUAUAUAAAUGUAAGUGCUAAAUGUAAGUGCUGAUGUCUCAUCAAUAUUGGUGAGGUGAAGAGAUCCCUAGAUGUAGCAAGAGGGAUAGUAAAAGUAAACCAGGAAAUUGUCAAGGCAUUAUUGCCUUGUGACAGCAGAGUCAUGCUGCCCCAUAAAAUGCAUCACUGUUCCAACCCUAUAGGGCAGGCGGGGUCCACCUUUAGGCUCAGGGAACAAUUUGUUUCUGAUGUCCUUGCAGUUGGGUUUAUUUGAGUUAUUCGUUGGUUGGGGGAAAGGGAGCAAAACUGAGGUUUGCCCCCUUUUGUGGCAGGUGAGUGUGGGCUGAGGACCCUUUGGGCCUUCAACCAGAGGCAUUUAUAUGGUGAAGAGGGUUUCCAUGGAACAGUCUCAGUGUUUUGUGGCCUGGGUUGCUGGGAAUGGGGCCCCGUUGGGAAGCUGCUCAUCUUGCCCAAUCAGAGCUUUGUAGCUUAGGGAUUGGUGAUGCUGGCAACCCUCCCUCGACACAGAAUACUGUGUGGUAAGGAGGAAGCCAGAGGUCAGAUGACUGCUGGCAACCACCAAGCCCAGUUGAUUUGCCCAGCAGUGGGGAAAAUAGCCAUCUUUAGGAGGCUAAAUCCCACAAGGGAACGAGUUGCCCACACUCAGGUUAAGGAAGUUAGAAAUAUUGCCCUGUUGCAUGUUCUGUAAAUUGUUAAU